CGGAGGCGGUGGCAAAAAGGAUAAUAAAUUGAAAUUCUGUAAAUUAUCAUUGUUCAUUGUGUCUGGGACCACGGUAAGGCAGAUGCUUAAGCUUGCAAAAGCAACCAUAAUUCCUGCAGUCGGAGAGUGAAUAAAGAAAAUGAAGCUCGAAAAGCUACCUCCAGGCAAACGGUGGCGGAUCGGAGAACGGAUACGAAUGCGAACAUAGAUUUAUUACAUCGAAUACAGUUCAAUAGCGCAUUUAUAAAUCAAUUAGGAACUGUUUAUCGAUUAAUGGUGGAGCCUUAUGUACCUACAGCCUCCAUGUGGAUACAUAAACGGCGGAAAAUGUGUACGAGUUCUUCCCAUCAUCCGUCGUAAAACCAUCACAAUAUACAUUGAGCACCAGCAGGGUGAUGUAUCGUAGUCCGUCAGCUCCACCAUCACCGUGAUGAUAAUGUUGUUGCAAAGGUCUACCAGUUCCGGUAUAGCACCAUUUGGCUGUUUGCAGGUUAUUUGAGGGAUGUGGUGUUUAUGUUUAUGACCGCUUGCCGUCAUACGGGUAGCAGAAUAGCGCCGGUAUGUUGCAACACGGAAUGGUCUCCCUUUUACGCGUCGAGAUGAAGUCUUGCCCCUGCCGUUGCAGAAGAAGAAGGAUUAUCGUAUCCUAGAACCGCACGUUUGCUCGUUUGUGCCAUACAUGAAGCGAACUGGAGCAUAUCGGUUGGGACGCGUUGGCCACAUCAAUACACAUCACGCUGUUGAAACUUUCAAACAGCUCAAUUGAAAAUUAUGAGUAGUAAGCAUAAGUCUCGAUCGAUGAACCAUGCAGCAGAUGGCUAGGCAAGACACGGACUCGGCCAGAAAAGGGCCCAGCCAUAAAGGACCCAAGUCAGAAAGGGCCAGAGGAAGUAUUGUUUUAAAAGCAACAGUACAGAAUCCCUCUUAUUUUCAUACACAUACAUGCCAAUAUACUCACACAAAUAACAAGUUAACGUA